GAGUUUGAUCCUGGCUCAGAACGAACGCUGGCGGCAGGCCUAAUACAUGCAAGUCGAACGCACCGCAAGGUGAGUGGCAGACGGGUGAGUAACGCGUGGGAACCUUCCUUGCAGUACGGAAUAACUCCGGGAAACCGGUGCUAAUACCGUAUACGCCCCUCGGGGGAAAGAUUUAUCGCUGCAAGAUGGGCCCGCGUCGGAUUAGCUAGUUGGUGGGGUAAUGGCCUACCAAGGCUACGAUCCGUAGCUGGUCUGAGAGGAUGAUCAGCCACACUGGGACUGAGACACGGCCCAGACUCCUACGGGAGGCAGCAGUAGGGAAUAUUGGACAAUGGGCGAAAGCCUGAUCCAGCCAUGCCGCGUGAGUGAAGAGGCCUUAGGGUUGUAAAGCUCUUUUGGCGGGGACGAUAAUGACGGUACCCGCAGAAUAAGCUCCGGCUAACUUCGUGCCAGCAGCCGCCGCCGU
rnacentral:rRNA from 1 species